rnacentral:lncRNA from 10 species
GUUGGAGGAAUUCAGGAAGACGGACUUCAUCUCAGAAGAAGACUCUACCUUUUAGAGAGAUCUGCUAUAACAUAUAAGCAGAAUGCAGUGAAUAGGGGGAAAGAUAGGAAUACAAAGUUGGAUUAGAAAAACAGCUAGAACAAAUUCAACUGGGAACAGGAACCUUCUGACUAAAAGUACCAGACUCUAUAUGGAGGUAUACAUGGCCAAAGAAAAUUCACAAUGCAACAUUCUAAAGGCUCCCCAGAGAUCUGAGCAUUAGAGGAUGGUCUAGCAUAGGCUAAAGUGAUUAAAGAUCAAUUACAGAAAUCUGUCAGGGAACAGAGUACAAACAAGUUAUGCUUUGGAAAGAGCAUAAAUGCCAUGAUCAUUACUUUGGGAGACAGAGAAGCACUGAAUCAAGCCAUCAAAAGAAAUGUCUUCCUGGAGAGCAAACUUAAUUAAACAUAAGGCGAGGCUCCUGGAAUCUGUCCAGCGUCAGAAAAGAACUGGUCCUGCAAUAUCCAAGCCAGGAGGAUGGACACUGACUUCACGCCAUCCAUGGAUCCGGUUCCAAUCCAAACACACCUCGUGCUGGGUGUGGUGGCUCAUGCCUGUAAUCUCAACACUUUGGGAGGCCAAGGCGGUCAGAUCACUUGAGCUCAGGAGUUCAAGACCAGCCUGGGCAACCUCAUCCCUACAAAAAAAUCAACAAAAAAUAAGCUGGGUGUGGUAGCACACACCUGUAGUCCCAGGCUGAGGUGGGAAGAUCAUUUGAGCCCAAGGAGGUCAAGGCUGUGGUGAACUGAGAUUAUGCCACUGCAUUCCAGACUGGGUGAGAGAGCCAGACCCUGUCUCCAAAUAAAUAAAUAAAUAAAUAACAAAAACACAAAUACAACUCACAUGAUCUUGUGAGGUAUUGGAAAUCUUUUCAUUCUGUGAACCAAAUAGUCUGCCUUCAAAAUUAAAGGGAACUUGCUGCAAAAAGUAGGGCAGUGGGAAACAAGCUGACAUCCUUUUGAAUAUUUGUGUAGGCUCAGUUCCUGAGCUAAGCAAAUGCCACAGACUCCCUGGGGGGUGGCAAGGACAGAGAGGACAGAGACACAGAGCUAAGCAGCACUAGUGU